AUGGGAGAGGCAUCGCCGGAGUCCAGCGGCGCGGCGGCCGGAGGGCCGUCUAUCCCGGGGCCGCCAAGGAAGGGGAAGUCGUGCAAGGGCUGCCUCUACUACUCGUCGGUGCUCAAAUCCCGGGGAUACAACCCCAUCUGCGUGGGGAUCCCUCGCUCCAUCCCCCAAGUCCCGGGCUUCGUGGUGGAAGAGCCUAGGGAGGAGGCCGCGGCGCAGGGGCAUGAUCUGAGACAGUUCAAAUACGCCUGUGCCGGUUACUCCAUGUUCGUCGACGACAGAGACGCCAAAAGCGGCGAGAAUGACGCCAAGGCGCUAUUGCCGUAUUGCCAGGGCCUCGAGCUAUUGGUGGACAGCAGAAUGGUUGAGAGAAAAUCACCCGCUGUAGAGCAUGCUUCAACACGUAAUCCGAAACCGAAGGAAGCUGCUGCUGCUGCUGCCACCACCCAGCCUCAGGAGCAAGGACAGCGACCACAGCUGGCGAGACAGGAAUUCAUGGCGAGGAAAGUUACCGUUCCAAUCCAGCUCCCCCCUCCCCCCCAUCUGUACGCAAUGAUGGUCUCCUCUGACUCCGUGAGAGAGUGGCUGUUUGUGGUGGUGCAGGUUCAGGAGGAGCGCCGGGCUGGUGGCCUCAGGGGUCGCCAAGAACCUCAACAAAACGGGCAGCUACAUCAAGCAAAACGUGGAGGACAUAUUUUCCCCUGA
rnacentral:rRNA from 1 species